rnacentral:rRNA from 1 species
GGGGGCACGGGGGGAGGAAUUGGCGGGGGAGCACCGCAACGGGAGGAGCGUGCGGUUUAAUUGGAUUCAACACCGGAAAACUCACCAAGGGCGACUAUUACAUGAAAGCCAGGCUAAUGACCUUGCUUGAUUUUUAGAGAGGUGGUGCAUGGCCGUCGUCAGUUCGUACCGUAAGGCGUUCUCUUAAGUGAGAUAACGAACGAGACCCUCAUCUAUAAUUGCUACUUCAUUCUCCGGAAUGGAGGCACAUUAUCGAGACCGCUGGCGCUAAGUCAGAGGAAGGAGAGGUCAACGGUAGGUCAGUAUGCCCCGAAUCUCUUGGGCUACACGCGCGCUACAAAGGGCGGGACAAUGGGCUACGACGCCGAAAGGCGAAGUCAAUCUCGAAACCCGUCCGUAGUUCGGAUUGAGGCUUGUAACUCAGCCUCAUGAAGCUGGAUUCCGUAGUAAUCGCGAAUCAAAAACUCGCGGUGAAUAUGCCCCUGCUCCUUGCACACACCGC